rnacentral:rRNA from 1 species
CCCUAUGGGGUGCAGCAGGCUGAUGCCGUCCAUGCCGAAUUUCAGUUUGACGCCCGGCGGCAGGAUCCAAUCCGCUUCGACGAACAGUUCGCAGGGGCACGACACGCGGGCGAUCACGAAGGCGGCCACCGCGAAGCCGAACUCGACGACCGACGCGGCGAAGGCGACCUGCCGGAUGGCCUUAACGUUGCGGCCUGCCGCCAGCAUCAGCGAGACAACGAGCGGGAAGAGUAUGAGUAUAACGGUCAGCAUGGUUCAGAUCAGUAUGUUUAGAAAAAGCACCAGGAUGAUCCCCGCGAUCAUCAUGAACAUGUAAAAACCCACGUGGCCCGCCUGGAGGUAGCGGACGGCAUUGCCGGAGAGGAUCACCAUCCGCCCGACCCCUUCCACGAUGCGGUCGAUGACGCGUACCUCCACGGUAUCGUGCAGAAACCGGGAGAGC